GCAAGUCGAACGAAGAGAGAUUUAGUUUACUAAUGAUCUCUUAGUGGCGGACGGGUUAGUAACGCGUGAGCAACCUGCCUUAAAGAGGGGGAUAGUCCUGGGAAACUGGGUUUAAUACCGCAUAUGAUCUUCGGAUUAAAGCUGGCUUCGGCUGGCGCUUUAAGAUGGGCUCGCGUCCUAUCAGCUUGUUGGUGAGGUAAAGGCUCACCAAGGCUACGACGGGUAGUUGGUCUGAGAGGAUGAUC
rnacentral:rRNA from 1 species